rnacentral:rRNA from 1 species
GACGAACGCUGGCGGCGUGCUUAACACAUGCAAGUCGAACGAAGCUUGAUUACGGAUUCUUCGGAUGAAGUAUGAUAUGACUGAGUGGCGGACGGGUGAGUAACGCGUGAGUAACCUGCCCUUCAGAGGGGGAUAGCGUUUGGAAACGAACGGUAAUACCGCAUAAUGUAUUUUGACCGCAUGAUCGAAAUACCAAAGAUUUAUCGCUGAAGGAUGGACUCGCGUCUGAUUAGGUAGUUGGUGGGGUAACGGCCUACCAAGCCGACGAUCAGUAGCCGGACUGAGAGGUUGAUCGGCCACAUUGGGACUGAGACACGGCCCAGACUCCUACGGGAGGCAGCAGUGGGGAAUAUUGAACAAUGGGCGCAAGCCUGAUGCAGCAACGCCGCGUGAAGGAAGACGGUUUUCGGAUUGUAAACUUCUGUUCUUAGGGAAGAAUAAUGACGGUAGCUAAGGAGCAAGCCACGGCUAACUACGUG